rnacentral:rRNA from 1 species
CAUYGAUGAAGAACGCAGCGAAAUGCGAUACUUGGUGUGAAUUGCAGAAUCCCGCGAACCAUCGAGUCUUUGAACGCAAGUUGCGCCCGAAGCCUUUUGGCCGAGGGCACGUCUGCCUGGGUGUCACGCAACAU